rnacentral:rRNA from 1 species
CCUACGGGAGGCAGCAGUGGGGAAUUUUGGACAAUGGGCGAAAGCCUGAUCCAGCAAUGCCGCGUGAGUGAAGAAGGCCUUCGGGUUGUAAAGCUCUUUUGUCAGGGAAGAAACGGUGAGGGCUAAUAUCCCUUGCUAAUGACGGUACCUGAAGAAUAAGCACCGGCUAACUACGUGCCAGCAGCCGCGGUAAUACGUAGGGUGCAAGCGUUAAUCGGAAUUACUGGGCGUAAAGCGUGCGCAGGCGGUUUUGUAAGUCUGUCGUGAAAUCCCCGGGCUCAACCUGGGAAUUGCGAUGGAGACUGCAAGGCUAGAAUCUGGCAGAGGGGGGUAGAAUUCCACGUGUAGCAGUGAAAUGCGUAGAGAUGUGGAGGAACACCGAUGGCGAAGGCAGCCCCCUGGGUCAAGAUUGACGCUCAUGCACGAAAGCGUGGGGAGCAAACAGGAUUAGAUACCCUGGUAGUCCACGCCCUAAACGAUGUCUACUAGUUGUCGGGUUUUAAUUAACUUGGUAACGCAGCUAACGCGUGAAGUAGACCGCCUGGGGAUACGGUCGCAAGNUUAAAACUUAAGGAAUUGACGG